UAUUUUGUAUUGCCCUUCUUCUACCAUCCUCCUUCGCAAACUGGACAAAAGCGAACGUUGAAGUUUUAUAAUUCGGUUUGUUCAUAAAGUUUGGAAUGUAGACCCUCAGAACUUGACCAUGAUGAUUGAAUAAUUCCCAUAAUGCUCCUCUAGAGACCCUCUUACUUAGGUUAUCAACAAAAACAGUCCAAUCCUCACUGGAGGAAUGACGACCUUUAGGACUCUCUCUCUCUCUCUCUACCUCACGCACUCAUUUUUUAUUGCUCAUCUAUAUAAUUGCUUCAUCUUUAUGUAUGCUAAUGACUUCUGACCCGAGAUCUUUCACUUGAAGCAGGCACCUGGCCAUGCACCUGCUAACAGGGAAGAUGGUGGUAUAGAGGCUCCAGAACCAGAUCCUGCUGGCUUCAAGGAGCAGGUUUCCAUACUGUUUGCAGAAUGGUAUCAGAUAUGUGAGCUUCCUGUUGCAGAUGAUGGGCCUUGUAAGCAUUACAUCCUACAAUUGUAUCAAAAUGGACUGCUUAAAGGGGAUGAUAUAGCGGAACGCUAUUUCCGUAUUAUCACGGAUCUGUCAAUUGCACAUUGCCUAUCUUCUGAGGUAAUGAGUUCUGGGACAUUGCAAUCACAGCAACAAGCACAGACUCUCUCUUUCCUUGCCAUUGAUAUUUAUGCAAAA